rnacentral:rRNA from 1 species
GAUGAACGCCAGCGACAGGCCUAACACAUGCAAGUCGAGGGGCAGCGCGGAGCAAGCUUGCUUGUUCUGGCGGCGACCGGCGCACGGGUGCGUAACAGGUGUGCAAUCUGUCCAUAAUCGGGGAAUAGCCCAGCGAAAGUUGGAUUAAUGCUCCAUGUGAGUUUUAGAGGCAUCUCUUUAAUUUGAAACGUAUGGAUUAUGGGUGAGCACGCUUCUGAUUAGGUAGUUGGUGAGGUAACGGCUCACCAAGCCGACGAUCAGUAGGGGUUCUGAGAGGAAGGUCCCCACAUUGGAACUGAGACACGGUCCAAACUCCUACGGGGGGCAGCCGUGAGGAAUAUUGGUCAAUGGACGAAAGUCUGAACCAGCCAAGUCGCGUGAAGGACGACGGCCCUCUGGGUUGUAAACUGCUUUUAGUUGGGAAUAAAAAGAGGGACGUGUCCCUAAUUGUAUGUACCAUCAGAAAAAGGACCGGCUAAUUCCGUGCCAGCCGCCGCCGUAAUAC